UACGUAGGGGGCAAGCGUUGUCCGGAAUCAUUGGGCGUAAAGCGCGUGUAGGCGGCCAGAAAAGUCCGCUGUGAAAACUCGAGGCUCAACUUCGAGCUGUCGGCGGAAACUUUCUGGCUAGAGUCCGGAAGAGGAGAAUGGAAUUCCUGGUGUAGCGGUGAAAUGCGCAGAUAUCAGGAAGAACACCCGUGGCGAAGGCGGUUCUCUGGGACGGUACUGACGCUGAGACGCGAAAGCGUGGGGAGCGAACAGG
rnacentral:rRNA from 1 species